rnacentral:rRNA from 1 species
AUAUUGGUCAAUAGCCUAACGGCUGAACCAGCAACUUGGGGGAAUGUACAGCGAAAGCUGGUUGUGCAGUUUUUAUUAAAUUGUACAGCUUCGACUCUGUCGAGUAAAAUUCUAGGUAGUAUUACGAUGAUGACGUUUUAUGCCUAUAUGUCUUGACCAAAUCACGUGCCAGCAGUCGCGGUAAUACGUGGAAGACUAGUGUUAUUCAUCUUUACUAGGUUUAAAGGGUACUUAGACGGUAUAUUAAGCCCGGAAGGGGACUAAUAAGCUAGAGUUUUAUAUGAGAAGGGGUGUACUAAACGAGUGUAGAGAUGAAAUUCAAUCAUACCUUUAUUGGAACAGGCAACGGCGAAAGCAACCUUUUAUGCAUAAACUGACGUUGAAGGACGAAGGCUCAGUACACCAACAGGAUUCGAUACCCCAGCAGUCUGAGCAGACAAUGAUGAAUGUCAUACAUUAGAAAUAAAUUUUUGGUGUAUAAAUGAAAGUGUAAGCAUUCCACCUCAAGAGUAAUGUGGCAACGCAGAAACUGAAAUCAUUAGACCGUUUUUGAAACCAGUGGUGAAGUAUGUUGUUCAAUUAGACAUUACACAAAAAACCUUACCACAACUUGAAUAUUUUUAUUUUUAUAUCAAUACAAGUGUUGCACGGCUGUCUUCAGUUAAUGUCGUGAGAUUUUGGUUAGUUCCAUAAAAUUAACGUGAACCCUUACUUUAUUUCUUAUUUAGAUAUUAUGUAUUUAAACAUAAUUUCUUAUAUAGUUAAAGUUGUUAACCGGUAUAUUGGAUAGUUAUAACAGGGACUAGGACAAGUCAUCAUGGCCUAAAUAUUGUGGGCUACAAACGUGCCGCAUAAGCCUAGACAAAGGGAUGCAAAAUUGCGAAAUUUAGCUAAUCCCCUAAAACAGGGUAUAAUAUGGAUUGUA